rnacentral:rRNA from 1 species
UACGUAGGGGGCAAGCGUUGUCCGGAAUCAUUGGGCGUAAAGAGCGUGUAGGCGGUCCGUUAAAUCGGCUGUGAAAGUCCAAGGCUCAACCUUGGGAUGCCGGUCGAUACUGCCGGACUAGAGUUCGGAAGAGGCGAGUGGAAUUCCCGGUGUAGCGGUGAAAUGCGCAGAUAUCGGGAGGAACACCUAUGGCGAAGGCAGCUCGCUGGGACGUUACUGACGCUGAGGAGCGAAAGCCAGGGGAGCAAACGGG